AAUCCAGUGAAGCAUAGUGGUUUGAACACUAGUCUACAACACUGGAGACCAGGGUUCAAAUCCCUGCUUGGUCA